rnacentral:rRNA from 1 species
GGAUCCAUCUUGUGAUGGAGAGUUUGAUCCUGGCUCAGGACGAACGCUUGCGGCGUGCCUAAUGUAUGCAAGUCGAGCGGACCGGGCGCAAGUCCGGUUAGCGGCGAACGGUUGAGUAACACGUAGACAACCUGCCCCCAGGUUGGGGAUAACUCGCCGAAAGGCGGGCUAAUACCGAAUGUGGCGUUCCUGCGCAUGCAGGGAUGGCUAAAGGCGCAAGCCGCCUGGGGAUGGGUCUGCGGCCUAUCAGCUAGUUGGUGGGGUAACGGCCUACCAAGGCGACGACGGGUAGCUGGCCUGAGAGGGUGGUCAGCCAGACGGGGACUGAGACACGGCCCCGACUCCUUCGGGAGGCAGCAAUGAGGGAUAUUGCGCAAUGGGGGAAACCCUGACGCAGCGACGCCGCGUGGGCGAGGAAGUCCUUCGGGAUGUAAAGCCCUUUUGCAGGGGACGAAAGCUGACGGUACCCUGCGAAUAAGCCCCGGCUAACUACGUGCCAGCAGCCGCGGUAAUACGUAGGGGGCGAGCGUUGUCCGGAUUCACUGGGCGUAAAGCGCGCGUAGGCGGAGGGUCAAGUCCGGUGUGAAAGCCCCCAGCUCAACUGGGGAGGGCCACUGGAAACUGGCUCUCUUGAGGGUGGCAGAGGAGAGUGGAAUUCCCGGUGUAGCGGUGAAAUGCGUAGAGAUCGGGAGGAACACCCGUGGCGAAGGCGGCUCUCUGGGCCACAACUGACGC